rnacentral:rRNA from 1 species
GACGAACGCUGGCGGCGUGCUUAACACUUGCAAGUCGAACGGUAAGGCCCUUCGGGGUACACGAGUGGCGAACGGGUGAGUAACACGUGGGUAAUCUGCCCUGCACUUCGGGAUAAGCCUGGGAAACUGGGUCUAAUACCGGAUAUUCAGCUUCUGCCGCAUGGUGGUUGUUGGAAAGUUUUUCGGUGCAGGAUGUGCCCGCGGCCUAUCAGCUUGUUGGUGGGGUAAUGGCCUACCAAGGCGACGACGGGUAGCCGGCCUGAGAGGGUGAUCGGCCACAUUGGGACUGAGACACGGCCCAGACUCCUACGGGAGGCAGCAGUGGGGAAUAUUGCACAAUGGGCGCAAGCCUGAUGCAGCGACGCCGCGUGAGGGAUGACGGUCUUCGGAUUGUAAACCUCUUUCGGCAGGGACGAAGCGCAAGUGACGGUA